GCAGUCGAGCGGACAGAUGGGAGCUUGCUCCCUGAUGUUAGCGGCGGACGGGUGAGUAACACGUGGGUAACCUGCCUGUAAGACUGGGAUAACUCCGGGAAACCGGGGCUAAUACCGGAUGCUUGUUUGAACCGCAUGGUUCAAACAUAAAAGGUGGCUUCGGCUACCACUUACAGAUGGACCCGCGGCGCAUUAGCUAGUUGGUGAGGUAAUGGCUCACCAAGGCAACGAUGCGUAGCCGACCUGAGAGGGUGAUCGGCCACACUGGGACUGAGACACGGCCCAGACUCCUACGGGAGGCAGCAGUAGGGAAUCUUCCGCAAUGGACGAAAGUCUGACGGAGCAACGCCGCGUGAGUGAUGAAGGUUUUCGGAUCGUAAAGCUCUGUUGUUAGGGAAGAACAAGUACCGUUCGAAUAGGGCGGUACCUUGACGGUACCUAACCAGAAAGCCACGGCUAACUACGUGCCAGCAGCCGCGGUAAUACGUAGGUGGCAAGCGUUGUCCGGAAUUAUUGGGCGUAAAGGGCUCGCAGGCGGUUCCUUAAGUCUGAUGUGAAAGCCCCCGGCUCAACCGGGGAGGGUCAUUGGAAACUGGGGAACUUGAGUGCAGAAGAGGAGAGUGGAAUUCCACGUGUAGCGGUGAAAUGCGUAGAGAUGUGGAGGAACACCAGUGGCGAAGGCGACUCUCUGGUCUGUAACUGACGCUGAAGAGCGAAAGCGUGGGGAGCGAACAGGAUUAGAUACCCUGGGUAGUCCACGCCCGUAAACGAUGAAUGCUAAGNUGUUAGGGGGGUUUCCGCCCCCUUA
rnacentral:rRNA from 1 species